GGGAUUGUGGCUCAGCAGUAGAGCACUCGCCUUCCACGGGAGGGACCUGGGUUCGAUCCUCAGCACCA
rnacentral:tRNA from 1 species